rnacentral:rRNA from 1 species
AUUGAACGCUGGCGGCAGGCCUAACACAUGCAAGUCGAGCGGAUGAAGGGAGCUUGCUCCUGGAGUCAGCGGCGGACGGGUGAGUAAUGCCUAGGAAUCUGCCUGGUAGUGGGGGAUAACGUCCGGAAACGGGCGCUAAUACCGCAUACGUCCUGAGGGAGAAAGUGGGGGAUCUUCGGACCUCACGCUAUCAGAGGAGCCUAGGUCGGAUUAGCUAGUUGGUGGGGUAAAGGCCUACCAAGGCGAGGAUCCGUAACUGGUCUGAGUGGAUGAUAAGUCACACUGGAACUGGGACACGGUCCAGACUCCUACGGGAGGCACCAGUGGGGAAUAUUGGACAGUGGGCGAAAGCCUGAUCCAGCCAUGCCGAGUGUGUGACGACGGCCUUCGGAUUGUAAAGCACGUUAAGUUGGGAGGAAGGGCAGUCAGUUAAUACCUUGCUGUUUUGACGUUACCAACAGAAUAAGCACCGGCUAACUUCGUG